CAGUUUCUGAAGAUGCUGCAGAAAUCAAUUAGAAUGAGAAAUGAAUUCAUCUGUUCUGCCCACGUGAAGGAGAGACUGACACUGAGAACACGAGAAAUAAAGAGCCACAGCUUCCUGUAUGAGUGACAAAUGGGACAAGUGUUUGGAGAUGGCUUCUGCACUCAGCUGGCUGAGAACAUAUAGAAGAACUGUUUCUGGUGUCAGGAAUUCUGAGCCUUGUUUCCUCCUGGCCGAGGUCCAGAGACUUGUGAGCAAGUAGACCGAAGAAACCCUUUCCCAACACAGUGCUACUCAGAGGGAGCUAGCAAAGUGGUGGAAG
rnacentral:lncRNA from 1 species